UUGACAAAGUGGUCAUUGAGGGAAAUAUCAGCCCCAGCAUCAAAGGUAGAAUGGGUGUCACUGUUAAAGUUGCAAAAGACAAUCUGGUCCUUGGUAUAGCCCAGGAUGUCUUUCAGAUAAUCCCCUAAUGUUUGCUUCACCACCUUAUUGAUAUCAUCAUAUUUG
rnacentral:lncRNA from 1 species